UGAUUCAACUUUGGUACCUGGUAUAUAU
rnacentral:piRNA from 1 species